GCAUCAAAGAUGGCGGCAGCACGGUCAUUCAUCCGAUAUAGUAGGGGAUUAUUAAAGCUGGAAAAACAUGCAUUUCCAUGUGAAAAAAGUUUAAAGACCAGCUCAUUCUUUUCCUCUGGAAAACAACAUUAUGGAUCAUUAGCAACAGCUGAACAGAUAACACAUAAGGCACAAUAUGGAGGGAGGCAUACAGUAACUUUGUUACCUGGUGAUGGCAUUGGACCUGAGCUUUUAGGUCAUGUACAGGAAGUGUACAGGUAUGCUGGUGCACCUAUCAACUUUGAAGUAGUUGAAAUUACAUCAGAAACAACAGAUCCAGAAUUUAUGAGAAAUGCCUUACUUUCUGUGAAACGAAAUGGUGUGGCAUUGAAAGGGAAUCUUGAAACAAAAGAAUCAGACCUCACUUCCCGUUCCAUGAACGUUGCUUUAAGGACUAAUUUGGAUUUGUUUGCCAACGUUAUAUGGUGUAAGAGUAUACCGGGUGUGCGAACUCGCCAUAAGGACAUUGAUGUGAUACUGAUCCGUGAAAACACAGAGGGAGAAUACUCCAACCUAGAACAUGAGAAUGUUCCUGGUGUAAUUGAAAGUUUGAAGAUAAUCACAGCUGAGAAGUCCAAACAGAUUGCCAAAUAUGCCUUUGACUAUGCGGUAAAACAUAAUCGCAAGAAGGUGACUGCUGUGCAUAAAGCUAAUAUCAUGAAACUUGGGGAUGGCCUGUUUUUGGAAUGCUGCAGGAUAGUGUCUGAGGCAUAUCCUCAAAUAGAAUUUUCCAACAUGAUUAUUGAUAACUGUAGCAUGCAGAUGGUGUCUGCCCCUGAGCAAUUUGAUGUCAUGGUUAUGCCCAACCUGUAUGGGAACAUUUUAGGAAACAUUGCAGCAGGGUUGAUUGGGGGAGCUGGGGUAGUGGCAGGAAUGAACAUCGGCAAAGAAUAUGCAGUCUUUGAAGCGGGAACACGUAACACUGGCAAGUCAAUCAAAGGGAAGAAUGUGGCAAAUCCAACAGGGAUGCUCAUGGCAGGUUGUGAUCUAUUAAAUUACCUUGGCCACAACAAACAUGCAACUCUUAUUCGUGAUUCUGUCAUGAAGGUUCUGAGUGAUCUCCAAAUUCAAACACCAGAUCUUGGCGGUCAAGCCACAACAGCUGAAGUAGUGCAAUCAAUUAUAGAGGAUAUUCGACCAAAGACACAAACAUGGCUUUGAACACGAGUAUGUGGUGUUUUUUGAAUGGGGUUGAUAUUCUACUGACAGUAAGUAAUAGUAAAUGGUGAGAAUGGUGUUGGAUAACUUACAAGAUUGCGGGAUGGACAGAGUGCAGGAAGUUUGUUGCUGAUGCUCACAUUAGUAUUAAGGUGCCCACCCCUUUGAGUCCUCUCCUUUUGCUCAGCAAGAUGUUGACACUAGAUAUUCACAUUACUCUGAAUGACAUUGGGUCUUAAGUUUAGAUUGCAAAUAUUUUUGCUGAUUUAUGAUUCAGCAGAUUCUGCUUUUACAGAACAGUAUUUUAAUUUAGUAAAUGUUUUUUUUUUUUUUUUUUUUGUUUUGACGUUACCUACUUACAUAUGCUGAUGUGGUUUUGUUAGAACAAAUAUGUUUGUUCCAUGUUUGAUACUUUCUUGGGGUCUGUGAUGUCUUAAAUUGAUGCAUUUACUGGUACAUGUAGUCUUGCUCAUAAAUGAUCUAAUGAUCUAUACCUAUAUGUUGAUCUACGCAGCAAGUAAAAACUGUG